UACGUAGGGGGCUAGCGUUGUCCGGAAUCAUUGGGCGUAAAGAGCGUGUAGGCGGCUCGGUAAGUCCGCUGUGAAAGUCCAGGGCUCAACUCUGGAAUGCCAGUGGAAACUGUCGAGCUAGAGUCCGGAAGAGGCGAGUGGAAUUCCUGGUGUAGCGGUGAAAUGCGCAGAUAUCAGGAGGAACACCAAUGGCGAAGGCAGCUCGCUGGGACGGUACUGACGCUGAGACGCGAAAGCGUGGGGAGCGAACAGG
rnacentral:rRNA from 1 species